AAAACCCUAGAAAUCCUUGUUUAAGUCCAUUUUGGAUUAGGAUUUCCUUAUUGGUCCCAAUGGACCAAUAAGCUUCCAAUUUGACUACUUUGGGCUUAGAACUCUUAAAUGGGCUCUAAUUGGACCCACUUCUAUUUAUUUUAAUAUUUUGGGCCAUAUUGGGCCUAGAAUGAAAUAAAAUACUUUAAUGGACCUUAUUGGGCCAUAACUAACCUAAUUUGCCCUAAUGGGCCAUAAAAAUCAUUCCUAGAUUUAUUUGGGCCGAAAAUUCACCUAAAUGGAUUAUAAUAUGGGUUUAAGCAUUAAGGGCCGAAAUCUUUUUUUCCCUCUCCUUUUCUCGGCCCAACUACUCAAAUGGAGGAGAGUUGACUUUUACAUGCCACCUCAUUUUUACAUAUGGGUCUUCCAUGCAUUCAUCCCAUGUUUUCAUGCAACUAUCCCAUCAAAGAUCUCUUCUCUUCCUCUCUCUCUUUUUUGCUCUUGGCCGAACCCAAACAAACACACACACAGUUCACUCAAAAUUCUCUCAAGGAAACUCUCUCCACUCCUCUCCAUAUUUUCGAGAUCUAAGAGGCUUUCAAAGAGAUUCUUCCACAAAAAACAUCAUCCAAGGUAAGUGAUGUUUGAUCCAUGCUUUAACUCACUUCUUUUCAUCAAAAAUCAUCUCUUAAUCAAUUCAAAUUCAUGAUCUUGCAUCUUAGAACACACUAAGUUCGAGAUCCAUCCAAGAAACUUGCUAGGGCCGAAAAUAGCACCAAACUUCUCCCAAUCUUCUUCAAAACCAAAACUACAACUCAAGGUGAGAUUCAUACACCUUUCUUUUCGGUUUUUAUGACUUUUAUGGGGGAGAAUACAAGAAAAUGUGUAGAUCUAUGUGUAUGUGUAUACUAUGUGUGAUUUUAUGCAUGUAUUUGUGUGAUUUCAUGUGUUUUUGUGAUGAAUAUGUUACCAAAAAAGGUGUAAAACCAAGAUCUAUGACAUGAGAAAGGAAACAAACAUAAUCUAAGCUAUUUUACACUAAAAAAGUCAAGAAUAAAAGCUUAUAAGGUUAUGAUGAACAUAUUCUGACAUAAAACACAUAUUUGGGCUUAAAUUGUCAAAAAUAGAAAACUUGGGAUACAAAUCGACAAGUCACGGUUUCUUGAAGGUCAAAAGGGUCAAAACAGUUUCUAUAAUCAUUUUUCUGAAUAUUAGAAUUUUUAAGGGACUUAAAAUGUAAAUUUUUAGCUUAAUGGGCUAAUUUUGGGCUUUUCGGCCCAAUAAGCCUCAAAAUGCGAAAAAUGAUAAAUUGAAGCGGCUGAAAUGAAACUUUCUGUAAAACAGGGGGUAAUUAGCAUAAAAAAUCAUUUUAAGAGUAAAAAAAUGCUUUUCACUAUCAAAAAGGACCAAAAAUGUAAAGUUUUUAGAUUUUGGGCCAAAACUGUAAAAGUUGUGAAAAAUGGGGUUCUAACCGAGAAACACCAUUCUAGAAGGGCUGAAGCUGUCAACAAAUUAAAUUUUGGGUUAAAACUGUGUUUUCAUCAAAUAAAUGAUACAAAAGUGUCAAGAAAAUGUUUUAAGGACUAAAAAUGAAAUUCUUUUAUAUAAAAGGACCAAAAGUGUUAUUUUUAUUAAAGAAGGGUAGUGAAAAGAUCAAAUUCCACUUUUAAACAAAUUAACUCAUUAAUACAAAAUGCAAGAUCCACGACUACCGAGGAAACGGAAAAACAAAUACACUUUCAACAAUAAAUAUCGUUUACAAACGAAGCGAUUCGGUCUCGAAUCAAUACAAAACAACAAGCGUUAAACCAAACCAUCUAAAUAGAUACGCGAUAACUAUGUUGAGCAAACGUACAAACCUUGGGCUUGGAAGUUUCAAAUCAUGCUUGUUGGGCCUUGCUAGCCCAUUAACAUGAUCUUUGGGCUCGAAGGGAAUAUGUUUAUGUGCUAUUGGGCCUCCUAUGACCCGAUUUCAUGUAAAAGGACUUUCAAUGGCUCUUAUGUGCUAUUGGGCCCUAGUGGCCCAUUAGUAUUGCUAGUGAGGUCAAGAAAUCAAAUGCGAGUUGGGCCAACGUGCCUUUCGCAUUCCCGACAGCCUAAAUAACUCACGGAAAUAACGGGACUUCGUACUCCCCUUUUCCUCGUUUGUUAGGCUUACGAGAAAUCAAGGUAAACAGAUUUAGGACGUUAAUCAAAAGUAAUCAUGGUUGUUGGAUUAAGUGAGUAGUAACGGGUGACGCCUUUAAGGAUCGUUCGAAACCUGUAGUUAUAAACUAGUCAUUUUCUAAUGCAUGAUUAUAACGACUCACAAACCCUAAUUAAUCCAACGCCACGCGAGAAAUCAAAAUCAUUCGUCGUGAUGGUAUAACAAAUUGAGAAUUCACUGUAUUUUAUGUAUUGGGAAAACACCGGCUUUUCCUGGGAAGUUCAACAUUUUCACUUGUGUGAUUAAUACUAAGGUUCAACAUUUAUACAUGUUUCAAAAAUCAACAAGCCUAUAUUUACGGAUCUCCACACUUUUAAUAAACAAUGAUCUUUUCAGAAAAUAUCGGAUUUUUUGGGUUUUACAAACUACACAAAAUCAUUUUAUCACAACAUUUCUUAUGAACUCACCAACAUUUCAUAUGUUGAUGUUUUUCAAAAUUAACUUGUAUUCUCAGGUAACAGGUAAACCGAAGAAUAAGUACCAAGUAAUGUNUAAUGUUAGGUUGCGUAUGAUAUCUAUCACACAAUUAGGUUAUGAAUCUGUAAUGUUUAAAAACAAAGUACUGGAUGUAAACAAUAUCAGUUGUAUUAUUUUAAUGCAUGGUGAUGAUUUAUGUUAUGAUUCAUGUAUAUUCAUUGUGAUGGUAUUCAAUUUAAGUCACAAGAGCCCUCGGACGUUUCCGCCGUCUGGUUCGGGGGUGUGACAGGUUGGUAUCAGAGCUUUAUUUAUAGUGAACUAGCAUAUCUAACCACACAUUGAUAUGCAACUAUAAACCAAAAAGGGGGACUAACACAACUCUGAACAAAACAAGUAAAACAUAACGAUAAAACAUCUUUGCUAGUGUGAAUUAGGAAAAAGCACAUCAUACCGAACCAAACAAGAUAAUGCUAGCAUCUCGGUUAAGCCAGGACUGUUCAUAGUCGUAAUCAAGGAGUGGAUGUAGCCUGAUCAACUACAUUUCCUCCAAGGUACAACUAUCACAUGUCCCGAGGAAAUCGUGAUGGCUAAGGAACCUAAAAACAUACCCCUUUAUCACCAAGAAGAGAACAUCAGCUCAAUUUAUACAAUAAUUGUAGCAUCUUAGGAAUAAUGUUAGCAUAUUUACACACUCUCGUAGAUAGCAUGGCUGGUUUCCACUACCCCGGAGAACCUUAUUUCCCAAACCAGGGGAAUAACGGAUGGUUGGACGAAGAACCGGAAGAAGAGCCCGAGGAAGACCCCGAGGAGGAAUCCGACGGGGAACCUGAAGCAGACGUCGAGGGCGGACCUGCUGAGCCAGUAGAGGAACAGGAGGAGGAGGAUGCCGAAGGAGGUCUCGAGGAGGAACACAGCAAUAACGAAGAGGGUGAUUCGGACGCAGAGUCUGAAGUCAUCAACCCCCUUAUCCGAUUAGAGUAUCUGCUUACCGGGUGGGCCCCACUGGUCCUACACCCCCCUGGGGUAUCGAUCUUUGGAGAUGGAGCAAACAGCAGGUACAACAACCCCCGUUCGGCAUGUCGUGCAAGUUCUUUGACCUGAGGGACGGAGGACCGGCCGAUCGUGCCCUACCAGUCAUGGUGAGACGAUUACGGAACACAGACGACCUAGCUCAGAGUACCGCCGAUCAGGUACGCCAGAUGUGGACUAGGGUUGAGCGUGUGGAGCAGCAGACGUGAGACGUCCUCCGAGAGUUCCACAUGAGGCAGGUAAGGUGGGAGUCCCGACUCCAGGAAGUAGAACGACAGGUGGCUCGUCUUUCGGGAGCAUCCACUUCCUCAGCACCACCCCCUGGCACAUCCCACCGCGACUAGGGUUAGCCGUAUCAGUCCUUAGUACUAGUACUAUGAUCUAUGCUAUGUACCCCGACUCUAUGUUUAAGUGAUUACACUACUCAUAGAGUCGUUAUACUGCCGAACUUGUACCGCUUAUGUAUGCUCUUUCGAGCAAAAUUUUCAUGUAUCAAAGUGCGGAUAAUAGUAAUGAAAAAUCUUAUAUGUUUACUGUGAUGUUUUAAUCUGCUAUGUGUUACAUAUCUAUUAUUGUGUGCUAAUUUUUAAAAUUACUUAAGUUUGUGCCACACACCUAGUUUAUAGGAUCACAACCUCACAAUAACCACAGAAACUCAACAUCUUUCCGUUCCAUGACAGAAAGAUGUCUCAACGACCCACCCGCGGAAACCCUGGGCCAACCCCACCCGAAGUCGAAUCAGCUGCAUUCCAAGCAGCUGUGUGUGUUGCGGUCACCGCAACAAUGGCACAAAUUCAUCAAGGGAACAAUGGGGGAGUCAACGGACAAGNCCAAAACAUGCUCCUACAAAGAUUUCACCAACGCCAAACCAUGAACCUUUAACGGCACUGGAGGAAUGAUUACCCUAAAACGAUGGAUCGAGAAGGUGGAAUGGGUGUUUGAGAUAUGUGAUUGCCCUGAGGAGAUGAAGGUGAAGUUUGCCGCAUGCACUUUCGUUGACCAAGCACUCACUUGGUGGAACAGACACGUGGAAGCCAUGACACUCCCCGUAGCCAAUUCCAUGCCAUGGGCAGAGAUGAAAGAAAUGCUGAUGGCCGAGUACUGCCCUCGUGGCGAAAUUCGGAAAAUGGAACAAGAGUUGUGGAAUGUCACCGUCUGAAACGUUGAUAUAGAUGCAUACAUAUCAAGGUUUAGUGAACUGUCCCUGCUAUGCCCUGGCAUGAUCACCUUAGAAGGAAAGAAGAUCGAGCGAUUCAUUUGGGGACUAACCUCCCCGAUCCAAGGAAACGUGAUAGCUGCAAAUCCCGAAACUUUCGACAGUGCCAAGAGAUUGGCCAAGAAGCUGUAUGACCAAAACAACAAGAAGGGUGAGAAGCCAAAUGAAGCUGAAGGUAAGAAGGAAAAUGACAACAAAAAGAGAAAGAAAAACAAGAAGAAGGGUCAUCAAGGCUCCGAAUCAUCCAAGAAGCAGCAAAUAGUGGCAGUUAAUGCUGCAACCACUUAUGUUCCACCCACACCACAUGCUCCUGCCUCAGCUGCUUCAAGUGCUCCUAGGCCUUAUUCUGGUAAUCUUCCUAAGUGCGACAAGUGUGGUCUCCAUCACAAUGGGGAAUGCAAGGAGAUGCAGUGCACCAAUUGCAAUCGGAAAGGGCACACGACGAAGUAUUGUAGGACGUAGUAUCCUCAGAAUAACCAACAGGGAAACAACGACAACAAUAACUGCAACAACAACAACAACACCGACAAUGGCGACAACAAUGCAGGACCAAGCCACACCUGCUAUGGAUGUGGAAGGACUGGGCAUUUCCGUCGAAACUGGCCCAACGACAACAAUCCCAAAGAUGGAGGAAUAGGAAAGUUGCUGACCAUGGGUCAGGGAGAAGCAGUUCAGGAUCUCGCUUUCAUUACCGGUACGUUCCUCAUAAACCACACUUAUGCAUGCAUCCUAUUUGAUACCGAAGCAGAACGAAGUUUUGUGAGCAAAAAUUUAAGGAUUUGUUAAAACAACCACCCCAGAAGCUCAAUGAAACCUUUACUGUGGAAAUGGCCAAUGGGAAAACAUAAUCCACUGGGGAAAUCUAUAUCGGAUGUACCCUAGCCCUAAAUCAACACGUCUUUCGAAUAAACUUAAUGCCUGUUUCCAUUAGGAGUUUUGAUGUGAUUAUUGGCAUGGACUGGUUAAGCCCCCACCAUGCUGAAAUUAUGUGUCACGAGAAGGCCGUUCGCCUUCACCUUCCAAAUCAUGAAUCCCUAAUUAUUUACAGAGACAAACCCAACACGAAUCUUCGUCUCAUCUCGUGCGUCCAGGCAUAGAAGUAUCUGCAAAAGUAAGAUUUGACGUUCCUGGCGCACGUAAUGGAUAAAUCCAAGGAAGAGGUUAACGUUGAAGACAUUCCUAUAGCUUGUGAAUUCCCAAACAUCGUUCCUGAACAUCUUCCUAGAGUACCCCUAGAAAGACAAAUCGAAUUUCGAAUUGAUCUUGUGCCAAGAGCUACUCCCAUCGCUAAAUCGCCUUACCGAUUGGCCCAUGCUGAGAUGCAGGAAUUGUCCAGCCAACUCAGUGAACUCCUGGACAAGGGAUUCAUUCGACCCAACUUCUCGCCAUUGGGAGCUCCAGUUCUCUUUGUCAAGAAGAAGGAUGGAUCUUUUAGGAUGUGCAUCAAUUACAGGGAAUUAAAUAAGCUCACUGUCAAAAAUCGCUAUCCACUCCCACGAAUCGACGAUCUAUUUGACCAACUCCAAGGAGCUACUUACUUCUCUAAGAUAGAUCUGCGAUCUGGGUACCAUCAAAUCAAUGUCCGGGAAGAGGAUAUUCCCAAAACCGCUUUCCGAACUCGUUACAGACAUUAUGAAUUUGUCGUAAUGCCCUUUGGUCUAACGAAUGCCCUGCCGCAUUCAUGGACCUAAUGAAUCGAAUCUACCGACCAUUCCUCGACAACUUCAUUAUUGUUUUCAUUGACGACAUUCUAGUUUAUUCUCAAAGCGAAGAAGAGCAUGGCCAACAUCUCCGACAAAUCCUGGAACCCCUGCGAACUGAGAAAGUAUAUGCAAAACUCUCCAAGUGUGAGUUCUGGCUUUGUAGCGUGAAUUUUUUUGGGUCAUGUUGUUAGUCAGGAAGGAAUACAUGUGGAUCCUUCUAAGGUCAAAGCCAUCGAAGGAUGGGCAGUCCCAACAACACCCACAGAAAUUCGCCAAUUCUUAGGUCUAGCAGGUUACUACAGGAGGUUCAUUCAAAACUUCUCUAAGACCGCCAAGCCACUUACCUCGCUUACACAAAAGGGCGUACCCUUCAAAUGGAUGGAAAAACAAGAAGCUGCAUUCCGAACUUUGAAGCAAGCACUCUGCAGUUCCCCGGUACUCUCACUACUAGAGGGAACGGAAGAUUUCGUAGUCUACUAUGACGCGUCAAAUCAGGGUUUAGGUUGUGUUCUCAUGCAGCGUUGAAAGGUGAUAGCUUACGCAUCCCGGCAACUAAAGACACACGAAAUGAAUUAUACAACCCAUGAUCUGGAAUUGGGAGCAGUGGUCUUCACCCUAAAAAUUUGGAGGCACUACCUUUAUGGUACGAAGUGCACCAUCUUCACGGACCACAAGAGUCUCCAGCACAUCUUGAAUCAAAAAGAGCUGAAUAUGAGGCAACGAAGAUGGGUUAAACUUUUAAACGAUUUUGAGUGUGAAAUCAAGUACCACCUAGGAAAGGCUAAUGUGGUAGCUGAUGCCUUGAGUCGGAAAGAGUCCUCUAAUCGUCAUGUGAAAACUCUCAUAAUAACCAUCCAAUCUCACCUAACCAUUCAAAUCAGGGCAGCCCAGUUAGAUGCCAUGAAGGCGGAGAACAAAAUGAGCGAAGCUUUACGCGGAAUGGAGAAGAAUCUCGAGGUAAAAGAGAGUGGAGUAUAUUAUUUCAUGAACCGUAUUUGGGUCCCUAAACUUGGAGGAUUUAGGGAAGUAGUCAUGAAUGAAGCUCACAAGACGCGAUACUCCAUCCAUUCGGGUUCGGACAAGAUGUACUUGGAUAUUAAACAACAUUAUUGGUGGCCUAACAUGAAGGCAGAGAUUGCCACCUAUGUUAGCAAAUGCCUUACUUGCGCAAAAGUAAAGGUGGAAUACCAGAAGCCCUCGGGGUUAUUACAGCAACCAGUAAUUCCCGAGUGGAAAUAGGAAAGGAUUACUAUGGAUGUUGUGACCAAGCUACCCAAGUCAUCAGAUGGAUUGGAUACUAUAUGGGUAAUAGAUGACAGACUGACGAAAUCCGCUCAUUUCCUACCAAUAAAAGAAUCCUACAAGAUGGAGAGAUUGACAAGAAUAUACAUUCGAGAAAUCGUGAGACUUCACGGAGUACCAGUGUCUAUCAUCUCAGAUAGAUAUAGUAGAUUCACUUCACGUUUUUGGCAAACACUUCAGAAAGCACUGGGAACCCAUCUCGACAUGAGCACUGCUUAUCACCCACAAACGGAUGGUCAAAGCGAACGAACCAUUCAGACGCUUGAAGACAGGCUUCGCGCAUGUGUGAUAGACUUUGGGAAGUCCUGGGAUACCCACUUACCCUUAGUUGAAUUCUCAUACAACAACAGUUACAAUUCGAGCAUCAAAGUUGCUCCUUUCGAGGCACUGUACGGACGUAAGUGUAGAUCACCAUUGUGUUAGGCUGAGGUAGGAGACACCCAGCUAGCGAGGGAACUAGCAUUAGACAAGACGUUAACAGGACUGGAGAUCAUACAUGCAACCACGGAAAAGAUAGUUCAAAUCAGAGCCCGACUACAAGCAUCACGCGACCGAUAGAAGAGCUACGCUGAUAAACGACGAAAGCCUUUGGAGUUUCAGGUCGGGGAUCGAGUGCUGUUAAAAGUUUCUCCCUGGAAAGGAGAUAUUCAUUUUGGAAAGCGGGGAAAAUUGAAUCCACGAUACAUUGGACCUUUUGAGUUUUUUGCCCGAAUUAGCCCAGUGGCAUAUAGACUGCAGCUACCCACUAAGCUCAGCAGUGCACACCCCAUGUUCCAUGUUUCCAAUCUAAAGAAGUGCCUAUCCGAUGAAACUCUCGUCAUUCCCCUUGAUGAAAUAGAAAUCAAUGAGAAUCUCCUGUUCAUCGAAGAACCAGUUGAGAUCAUGGACAGGGAGGUGAAGCGUACUAAGCAAAGUCGCAUUCUGAUUGUGAAUGUACGGUGGAACGUGAAGCGUGGGCCAGAAUUCACACGGGAACAUGAAGACCAGAUGAAACUCUCUUCAUUCCCCUUGAUGAAAUAGAAAUCAACGAGAAUCUCUUGUUUGUCGAAGAACCAGUUGAGAUCAUGGAUAGGGAGGUGAAGCGUACUAAGCAAAGUCGCAUUCCGAUUGUGAAGGUACGCUGGAACGCGAAGCGUUGGCCAGAAUUCACAUGGGAACGCGAAGACCAGAUGAAGCAGAAGUACCCUCACCUAUUCUCACAAUCUCAAAUCUAACUUUCGAAAGAAUUUCGGGACGAAAUUCCAUCUAUCGGGGGGAUGAUGUCACAACUAGGAAUUUUGAUGCCUUGUAAACAUUGAACAAUGAUAACAAAUGUGAACCAACAAUGUGAAAGCAUGUAGGAUGCUUAUUCAAUAACAACAAAACUCCAAUCAAACACUUCAUACAAACGCUCAAAUAGUCAACAAAGAAUUGGAAAACCCUAGAAAUCCUUGUUUAAGUCCAUUUUGGUUUAGGAUUUCCUUAUUGGGCCCAAUGGACCAAUAAGCUUCCAAUUUGACUACUUUGGGCUUAGAACUCUUAAAUGGGCUAUAAUUGGACCCACUUCUAUUUAUUUUAAUAUUUUUGCCAUAUUGGGCCUAGAAUGAAAUAAAAUAAUUUAAUGGACCUUAUUGGGCCAUAACUAACCUAAUUAGCCCUAAUGGGCCAUAAAAAUCAUUCCUAGAUUUAUUUGGUCCGAAAAUUCACCUAAAUGGAUUAUAAUAUGGGCUUAAGUAUUAAGGGCCAAAAUCUUUUUUUCCU
rnacentral:lncRNA from 1 species